rnacentral:tRNA from 1 species
GGGAAUGUGGUCUAGUGGUAUGUUACACUCUGACAAUCGAAGAGGCCAGGGGUUCGAUUCCCUUCAUUCCCC